rnacentral:rRNA from 1 species
GGGAUUGCCCUAGUACGGCGAGUGAACAGGCAAGAGCUCAGAUUUGAAAGGCACUUUUGUGCCGUUGUAUUCUGAAGUUAGGGUCCUGAGAAACGAUGCUUAAGUCUUCUGGAAAGGAGCGCCAUGGAGGGUGAUAGCCCCGUCUAGCAUUGACCUCAUAUAGGAUCUUAACAUGGAGUCGAGUUGUUUGGGAAUGCAGCUCAAAUGGGUGGUAUGCUCCAUCUAAAGCUAAAUAUCUGCGAGAGACCGAUAGUAAACAAGUACUGUGAGGGAAAGAUGAAAAGAACUUUGAAAAGAGAGUGAAAAAGUACGUGAAAUUGUUGAAAUGGAAGGGUAGGCCGCUAACCAUGUAGAGCCGUGUUUGGGGGGAAGAUAAAUGCUGUAGAAUGUAGCUCCUCGGAGUAUUAUAGAUGCAGUUCAUAUUCCCACCCGAGCGCGAGGAUCUCAGGUUCUACUAAAUGGUGGUCUACCACCCGUCUUGAAACACGGACCAAGGAGUCUAUUGUCUGCGCGAGUAUUUGGGUGUCAAACCCAUAUGCGAAGUGAAAGCGAAAGGUUCUAACCUUCGGGUUCAGAAUCGGCCGACCGUUUAUAGAAGCGGAUUGAGUAGAGCGUGGAUGAUGGGACCCGAAAGAUGGUGAACUAUGCCUGAAUAGGGUGAAGCCAGAGGAAACUCUGGUGGAGGCUCGCAGCGGUUCUGACGUGCAAAUCGAUCGUCAAAUUUGGGUAUAGGGGCGAAAGACUAAUCGAACCAUCUAGUAGCUGGUUCCUGCCGAAGUUUCCCUCAGGAUAGCAGAAGCUCGUAUCAGUUUUAUGGGGUAAAGCGAAUGAUUAGAGGUAUUGGGACUGAAAUGGUCUUGACCUAUUCUCAACUUUGAUAUGUAAACGUCCUUGUUACUUAGUGAACUUGGACUCUUGAUGAAAACUUUAUGGCUUGUUUUUUUUAA